UACGUAGGUGGCGAGCGUUGUCCGGAUUUACUGGGCGUAAAGAGCGCGCAGGCGGUCGAUCAAGUCGGAUGUGAAAGCCCCCGGCUCAACUGGGGAGGGUCAUUCGAUACUGGUCGACUCGAAGGCAGGAGAGGGAAGCGGAAUUCCCGGUGUAGUGGUGGAAUGCGUAGAUAUCGGGAGGAACACCAGUGGCGAAGGCGGCUCUCGUGGACCGGUGCGUGACGCUCAGGCGCGAAAGCGUGGGGAGCGAUCCGG
rnacentral:rRNA from 1 species